rnacentral:rRNA from 1 species
CGGUGUUUAACUGGCGUGAUGUGGGACGUCCUACCGGUGGGCUUAGCCUCGCGAGGGGCGGCCCAACUAAUAUCCCGUCGCGGUGCUCUUUACUGAGUGUCGAGUCGGGCCGGUACGUUUACUUUGAACAAAUUAGAGUGCUUAAAGCAGGCUAUCCUCGCCUGAAUACUGCGUGCAUGGAAUAAUGGAAUAGGACCUCGGUUCUAUUUUGUUGGUUUUCGGAACCCCGAGGUAAUGAUUAAUAGGGACAGAUGGGGGCAUUCGUAUUGCGACGUUAGAGGUGAAAUUCUUGGAUCGUCGCAAGACGGACAGAAGCGAAAGCAUUUGCCAAAAAUGUUUUCAUUAAUCAAGAACGAAAGUUAGAGGUUCGAAGGCGAUCAGAUACCGCCCUAGUUCUAACCAUAAACGAUGCCAGCUAGCGAUCCGCCGAAGUUCCUCCGAUGACUCGGCGGGCAGCUUCCGGGAAACCAAAGCUUUUGGGUUCCGGGGGAAGUAUGGUUGCAAAGCUGAAACUUAAAGGAAUUGACGGAAGGGCACCACCAGGAGUGGAGCCUGCGGCUUAAUUUGACUCAACACGGGAAACCUCACCAGGCCCAGACACCGGAAGGAUUGACAGAUUGAUAGCUCUUUCUUGAUUCGGUGGGUGGUGGUGCAUGGCCGUUCUUAGUUGGUGGAGCGAUUUGUCUGGUUAAUUCCGAUAACGAGCGAGACUCUAGCCUGCUAAAUAGGCGUACCUUAUGGUAUCGCGAAGGCCCCCGGCUUCGGCCGGUGGGUUUUUACUACCAACGUACAAACAAAUCUUCUUAGAGGGACAGGCGG